AACUCUCGUUUAUCUCCUCUCAGAAUUGUUCCGAUCUGGAAACCAUGGCUAUAUUAUGUAAGGUCCAAGUGAUGAUAAACCACGAAAAAGCCUCUACGCUACUCGUCCUCAGGUUCAAUUAUAAAUUACGGCAUGAAAAAAAGAUAAGUAUUUUAAUUGUUUAAGCAUAACUCUGUUGCAAUGAAUGCAAUCUAAUGUAAAAGAUAUUGUUAUAUUAACAGACAUUGCACUUGAAUUUUAAUAGUCCCUGAUUAUUUUGUGAAUACUUAAGUUAUUAACCGUUCUUUUCUUUUAAACUGACUACUAAACCAACUUGUUUCUUAAGCAAAUGGUGAUACUACAGAUGCACAAAUAUGUCUCUACAUUAUGAUCUUUCAUUAUGAUAAGUGUAAUAGAUUCAUUAAUUGAUUUUUCUCACUAUGUUUUCCAGAUACAGUACAUCACUAUCCUGUUUAAGAAGCUUUUCACAACUUUUACUUCUGAAAGAAGUUUUGCAGUUGAUGUAGAUUCAAAUUGAAUGAAUUUUAACACACUAAUCUUACUCAUUUAUUUUGCAGAUUGGAUCUAUAUGGAAUAUAAAACUUCAAGAAUAAGGCUUUCAAACUGGGGAGGAAGAAGACAGACACAGAGAAAGUGUGUUAGUUGUGCUUCAAUUGAAAUGUUGGUUUUCAUCCACCAUUUACAGAUUGCUUCCUCUCCAGCAAUAGCUGCUUCCUCUCCGGCAAAGCAUCUGGAAUCACUGUUGCCCUUCGAUCACACAUCAUUUCAUCAUUCUCCUCCACAGCUGUGAAGACUUAUUUAUAGUGUCCUAGGUCUUGAAGAUGGCAACAGUCAUCCUCAAUUUAAAUUCAUUAUGCAUUUCUCCAUGUAUUUAAUAUCUUUUCUGAUGUGUAAGUACCUUUCGGAUUCCAAGACAUUUAUAUCUUAAAUAUGUUAAAUGAAUUCGAAUUCCCCAAGAAAUGCCCAAAACUACUUCGUUUUCCAUGGGCGGGAAAAUGAAAUUUUUUUAUUUAUCAGAAAGUUGUUGCUUUUAUAUAUAUAUAUAGACUCCUUAUGUAAUAAAAGAACAGAAGAAGAGGAAGAAGAAGAGGAAGAAGAAGAAAGGUCUCCCUGAGCUCGCCGGUCCGACGUCUCUGUAAUCGUCGACGAUGAAGCUCUCAUUUUCCCUCGCCUCAAAGCCCUCUUCAAACCUAAAGAAGCCAUCUCAGACCUUCGCCGGCAAUGACCCGAAAGCAUCGGCGUCCGCCGCCAAAGAGUAUGUGACCGAGUUUGAUGCUUCUAAAGCUCCGGCAGCAGCCGACUCUGUCGCCAAUUAUAUAAUCCCUCCGAAGGCCAACGAAUGGGAGCCUCGCAAACGGAUGAAGAAUAUCGACCUCCCUCCAAUCCGGUCGUCCGACGAUCAGCCGCUGCAAUUCGAGGUCGACACCGGCUCGUCUGUGGAGCCGUCGUCCGAUUCCGUGUCCUACGGUCUGAAUAUCCGCCAGUCUGCCGACGAUCCGAACACCGAUAAGUCAGAAAACCCUAACCCUAGCCCUAAUGUUGAUCCCAUGUUGCAUAGGCUGAAAGAGGAUCUGAUGAGACUGCCGGAUGAUAACGGUAUGGAUGAGUUUACUGAUAUGCCCGUGGAGGGCUUUGGAGCUGCUCUGCUCAAGGGUUAUGGUUGGAGUGAAGGCAGAGGCAUAGGCCGCAAUGCAAAAGAGGAUGUGAAAGUGAGAGAGUAUAAAAGAUGGUCUGCGAAGGAAGGGAUUGGAUUUACUGCUGAAUUGCCAAACGAUACUAAAGUGCAUAAGGUUGAUGGUGGAGAAAAGAGAGAUAAGAAAAUGAAUGUCAAUGGAAAGGAGGAAAGAGGGGAAAAGGAAGGGAAAGGAUUGUUUGUGGGCAAGAACAUAAGGAUAGUUGGAGGUAGGGAAAUUGGAAUGAAAGGAAAGGUUGUGGAGGUGAAGAGCGGUGGGAAUAUGGUUAUUAGGCUUUCUAGUGAUGACAGGGAAGUAAUUGUCCAAUCAUCUGAUGUUGCAGAGUUGGGUUCUGUAGAAGAGGAGAAGUGUAUGAGGAAGUUGAAGGAGUUGAAGAUUAAAGACAGCAAUAAAGAUUCAUCUAGUGUUAGACAUCGUAGAGAAAGUAGAGAUGAAGUAACGAGGGAUAGGGAAAUUAGGGAGGAAAGAUCAAAGGACAGGAGAAAGGACAACAAGCGUAGUAGAGAUGAGUCAAAUGCCAAGGGAGUUGAACAAAUUUCUUGGCUAACUAGUCAUAUAAGAGUUAGGGUUAUAAGUAAGGCGUUGAAAGGAGGAAAAUUAUAUUUGAAGAAAGGAGAAGUGGUGGAUGUGGUAGGGCCAUCAACUUGUGAUAUAUCAAUGGAUGAGAGCCGGGAGUUGAUUCAAGGUGUGAAUCAGAAUCAGCUUGAGACGGCACUCCCAAGGCGCGGUGGUCCUGUACUUGUUUUGUGUGGUAGGCAUAAGGGCGUGUAUGGAAACCUUGUAGAGAGGGAUACAGAGAAGGAAACUGGUGUUGUGCGACAUGGUGAUACACACGAGUUACUCAAUGUGAGACUUGAGCAAAUUGCAGAAUAUACAGGAGAUCCUAGUUACAUCGGCUAUUGAAGAAUCCAUUCAAUUGUUGUUUGGCAUUGACUGGUUGGGGAUGCCACUGAAAUUGAAGGUUGGUACACCACUGUUGAAUGCUGUUGUUGAUGUUCAGCUGCCACCGAAGAUGACCACGUUACAAUUUCUUUAUCUCCAAGCCGGUCAACUGUUCUGCUAAACUUGUACUAUUGACCUAUAUUGUUUGACAAUUAUUAUUUCUCAAGAAAGAAAGUGUUGUACCAUACGUAUAAAUGUAUAAUUUUAUUGAUCUUGAACCAAGUAAAAGAGUGUGCUUUCCCCUCCAAAAAAGAAAGUUCAAUUUUGAAAGGAAAAAUGUUUAGUGUACUCUUGUAACAUCUUGAUUUUUAUUAGACCAAGGAAAUGGAAAAAUUCUGUAACCUUUUAGACUAA